AAUACGCGAUGUUGGGCUAUAUUCUGAAAAAUCAGAUGUUUUUAGCUUUGGAGUUAUAGUUUUAGAAAUUAUCAGUGGAAAGAAGAAUGCAAGUUGUCAUGAUGAAUCGCAGUAUGCUGAUAGCCUCUUGAGCUAUACGUGGAAUCAAUGGAGUAAUGAAAAGUUGUUCGAGAUGUUGGAUUCAAAUCUAAAAGAAAUGGAAUGUUAUAAUGAAGUAAGCCGGUGCAUCCAAAUUGGAUUGUUAUGUGUUCAAAGGCAUCCAGAUUCAAGACCUUCCAUGGCUACAAUUGUUUCAUAUCUGGGCAAUGAUUCAAUUCAAUUGCCACAUCCACAGCAACCUGCUUUCUUUUUGCGUGCUCGAAGGGUAAUCACUUCUGCA